rnacentral:rRNA from 1 species
GAUGAACGCUGGCGGCGUGCUUAACACAUGCAAGUCGAACGAAGCUGCUUAACUGAUCUUCUUCGGAAUUGACGUUUUGUAGACUGAGUGGCGGACGGGUGAGUAACGCGUGGGUAACCUGCCCUGUACAGGGGGAUAACAGUCAGAAAUGACUGCUAAUACCGCAUAAGACCACAGCACCGCAUGGUGCAGGGGUAAAAACUCCGGUGGUACAGGAUGGACCCGCGUCUGAUUAGCUGGUUGGUGAGGUAACGGCUCACCAAGGCGACGAUCAGUAGCCGGCUUGAGAGAGUGAACGGCCACAUUGGGACUGAGACACGGCCCAAACUCCUACGGGAGGCAGCAGUGGGGAAUAUUGCACAAUGGGGGAAACCCUGAUGCAGCGACGCCGCGUGAGUGAAGAAGUAUCUCGGUAUGUAAAGCUCUAUCAGCAGGGAAGAAAAUGACGG